AGAGUUUGAUCCUGGCUCAGAUUGAACGCUGGCGGCAUGCCUAACACAUGCAAGUCGAACGGUAACAGGUCCAGCUUGCUGGACGCUGACGAGUGGCGGACGGGUGAGUAAUACGUAGGAAUCUGCCCAGUAGCGGGGGAUAGCCCGGGGAAACCCGGAUUAAUACCGCGUACUCUCUACGGAGCAAAGAGGGGGCUCUCUUCGGAGACCUCUCACUAUUGGAUGAGCCUACGUCUGAUUAGUUUGUUGGUGGGGUAACGGCCCACCAAGGCGACGAUCAGUAGCUGGUCUGAGAGGACGAUCAGCCACACUGGGACUGAGACACGGCCCAGACUCCUACGGGAGGCAGCAGUGGGGAAUCUUGGACAAUGGGCGAAAGCCUGAUCCAGCAAUGCCGCGUGUGUGAAGAAGGCCUGCGGGUUGUAAAGCACUUUCAGUCGGGAAGAAAAGCAAGGGGUCAAUACCCCCGAGUCUUGACGUCACCGACAGAAGAAGCACCGGCUAACUCCGUGCCAGCAGCCGCGGUAAUACGGAGGGUGCGAGCGUUAAUCGGAAUUACUGGGCGUAAAGCGCGCGUAGGCGGUUGGGCAAGUCGGAUGUGAAAGCCCCGGGCUUAACCUGGGAAUUGCAUUCGAUACUGCCCGGCUAGAGUUUGGCAGAGGAAAGCGGAAUUCCGGGUGUAGCGGUGAAAUGCGUAGAUAUCCGGAAGAACACCGGUGGCGAAGGCGGCUUUCUGGACCAAAACUGACGCUGAGGCGCGAAAGCGUGGGAGCAAACAGGAUUAGAUACCCUGGUAGUC
rnacentral:rRNA from 1 species